ACGGUCUCAUGGGCUCUGGCCAGCAGCGGGGGAUAUCGUCACUUUCGACCUGGGCUUGACUGACCGCACACCCUGCACGACCUGUGAGCGAGAUGACGACGACCAGCUUCCUCCCCCGCUCCGAGGCGGCGCCGCCGCUGGACGACGACGACCUGCUCUCCGAGAUCCUCCUCCGCCUCCCCCCGCAGCCGUCCUCCCUCCCGCGCGCCUCCCUCGUCUGCAGGCGCUGGCGCAGCCUCCUCUCCGACCCCGCCUUCCGCCGCCGCUUCCGCAUCCACCACCGCCGCAGCCCUCCGCUCCUGGGCUUCAUCGACGCGAACCAGGGCAUCACCUUCCAGCCAGCCCUGGACGCCCCCGACCGCCUCCCCCGCGGCCACUUCUCCCUCAACCUCGACGACCGCUACAUGACCCUCGGAUGGCGCCAUGGCCUCGCGCUCUUCUUCCUCCCGAUCUCGCUCCAGGUCGUCGUGUGGGACGCCGUCGCCGGCGUCCAGCACCGCCUGGCCGUGCCCCCGGGGUUCGGGUUCCACCCGUUGGAGAACCCCAUCAACGGGACGGUGCUCCGCGCCGCCGGAGAAAUCGACCACUUCCAGGUGGUCUUGGUAAGCAGCGACGGGAAGCAACCUAGAAGAGCGCUCGCCCGUGUUUACUCGUCGGAGACCGGCGUAUGGGGUGAUUCCAUCUCGUGCCCGGUUCCAUUGGUGUCUAUGGUUCAUAUAGGCGAGCCCGCUGUACUGGCGGGGGAUUGCAUUUAUUGGUUGGUUUCAGCAUCGAAUAUCCUCGAGUUUGAUUUGGAUAGGCAGACCCUAGCUGUGACAUUGUUGCCAGCGCAGCUGCUUACCAGCAGCAAUCGCCAUGUCGGGGUUAUGCGGGCAGAGGGUGGUGGGAUGGGUCUCGUCGUCGUGUCAGGCUUCAUCGCCCAGUUAUGGAAGAGGGAGACAGACUGGCAUGGCGUUGUUUCAUGGAUCCCUGGAAGAACUAUUGAACUGGACAAGUUACUUCCCCCAAAUUCAGAGAAAGAGCCACCGAAUAUGAUAGGUUAUGCGGAGGAAAAUAAUGUGGCCUUCUUCUGGACAGUUGUUGGUGUCUUCAUGGUCCACCUCGAGUCAUGGCAGCUCAAGAAACUUUCUGCGACCGGCAUCGCUUAUCGUUACUAUCCAUUCGAAAUUGUCUAUACUCCAGGCAUUGGUGGUGGACAUGAGGGAGCGAAAGUUGGUAGGCAUUUGUGGUGGACACGGUGGAGACAAUACAUAAGACAAUUAUUCAGUUAGACAUGAUAUUAUAAUGUACUGGUCGAGCAGAGUAAAAAGGACCGGAGGGAGUAAUUUGGUGCUGGUAGAUGGUCCAGUUGCGAUCGUUUUGAGUGACAAAUAGGAUCUGAGUGAGUCUGAUCUGGUUACCAGAGUGAAAUCUCCGGGUAUAAUGAGUAUCUUCAUGUUCCCUUGGUACAAAUUUCUGAAUGGACCAAAUAAUGUUCUCUGUACUGAAAUUUCCGGGUAUAAUGAGUGAAAUCUCCGGGUAUAAUGAGUAUCUUCAUGUUCACUUGCCAUAUCUGCUAGCAAACUGAUAAUUACUGUUUGAACUACAACAAAGGAAAUUCUGCAUUGGUCGGCGGCAUGAGGCUUCGUCCGUGUGAUAACCACUUUGUACUUGUUAUAAGAACUCAUUUGUAUGUGUAUCUUACCGCUUUGGCGGUGUUAGUAUAAGAACAUGCGUGUUCUCUUAUGGUACUGUUCAUCAGAUUUUUCUUAUGUAUAUAUAAGUAUCUGUGGAAUAUUUAUGGAGAAUGGUAAGGUUGCUUUA